GUCAGGAUGGCCGAGUGGUCUAAGGCGCCAGACUUAAGUUCUGGUCUCUGUAUGGAGACGUGGGUUCAAAUCCCACUCCUGACA
rnacentral:tRNA from 1 species